CGCGGCCUAUCAGCUUGUUGGUGGGGUAGUGGCCUACCAAGGCGACGACGGGUAGCCGGCCUGAGAGGGUGACCGGCCACACUGGGACUGAGACACGGCCCAGACUCCUACGGGAGGCAGCAGUGGGGAAUAUUGCGCAAUGGGCGAAAGCCUGACGCAGCGACGCCGCGUGGGGGAUGACGGCCUUCGGGUUGUAAACCUCUUUCAGCAGGGACGAAGCGCAAGUGACGGUACCUGCAGAAGAAGCACCGGCCAACUACGUGCCAGCAGCCGCGGUAAUACGUAGGGUGCAAGCGUUGUCCGGAAUUAUUGGGCGUAAAGAGCUCGUAGGCGGUCUGUCGCGUCGGCUGUGAAAUCCCGAGGCUCAACCUCGGGUCUGCAGUCGAUACGGGCAAGCUGGAGUGUUGCAGGGGAGACUGGAAUUCCUGGUGUAGCGGUGAAAUGCGCAGAUAUCAGGAGGAACACCGGUGGCGAAGGCGGGUCUCUGGGCAACAACUGACGCUGAGGAGCGAAAGCGUGGGGAGCGAACAGGAUUAGAUACCCUGGUAGUCCACGCCGUAAACGUUGGGCGCUAGGUGUGGGGCUCAUUCCACGAGUUCCGUGCCGCAGCUAACGCAUUAAGCGCCCCGCCUGGGGAGUACGG
rnacentral:rRNA from 1 species